rnacentral:rRNA from 1 species
GACGAACGCUGGCGGCGUGCUUAACACAUGCAAGUCGAACGGAAAGGCCCUGCUUUUGUGGGGUGCUCGAGUGGCGAACGGGUGAGUAACACGUGAGUAACCUGCCCUUGACUUUGGGAUAACUUCAGGAAACUGGGGCUAAUACCGGAUAGGAGCUCCUGCUGCAUGGUGGGGGUUGGAAAGUUUCGGCGGUUGGGGAUGGACUCGCGGCUUAUCAGCUUGUUGGUGGGGUAGUGGCUUACCAAGGCUUUGACGGGUAGCCGGCCUGAGAGGGUGACCGGCCACAUUGGGACUGAGAUACGGCCCAGACUCCUACGGGAGGCAGCAGUGGGGAAUAUUGCACAAUGGGCGGAAGCCUGAUGCAGCAACGCCGCGUGCGGGAUGACGGCCUUCGGGUUGUAAACCGCUUUCGCCUGCGACGAAGCGUGAGUGACGGUAAUGGGUAAAGAAGCACCGGCUAACUACGU